rnacentral:rRNA from 1 species
GGAGUUAGGAAAUGCAGGAGCGUUAAUAGCGUUCUUGCUUGACUAAGGCUCCAGAGGAAGCCACGGCUAACUCUGUGCCUGCAGCCGCGGUAAUACAGAGGCGGCAAGCGUUGUUCGGAAUUAUUGGGCGUAAAGAGCACGUAGGCGGCCUUGCAAGUCAGUUGUGAAAGCCUUCCGCUCAACGGAAGAAUGCCAGCUGAUACUACAGGGCUUGAGUACGGGAGGGGAGAGUG